rnacentral:rRNA from 1 species
AUUGAACGCUGGCGGCAUGCUUUACACAUGCAAGUCGAACGGUAACAGGCCGCAAGGUGCUGACGAGUGGCGAACGGGUGAGUAAUGCAUCGGAACGUGCCCAGUCGUGGGGGAUAACGCAGCGAAAGCUGUGCUAAUACCGCAUACGAUCUAUGGAUGAAAGCGGGGGACCGCAAGGCCUCGCGCGAUUGGAGCGGCCGAUGUCGGAUUAGCUAGUUGGCGGGGUAAAAGCCCACCAAGGCGACGAUCCGUAGCUGGUUUGAGAGAACGACCAGCCACACUGGGACUGAGACACGGCCCAGACUCCUACGGGAGGCAGCAGUGGGGAAUUUUGGACAAUGGGGGCAACCCUGAUCCAGCCAUGCCGCGUGUGUGAAGAAGGCCUUCGGGUUGUAAAGCACUUUCGGCCGGAACGAAAUCGCGCGGAUUAAUAACCUGCGUGGAUGACGGUACCGGAAGAAGAAGCACCGGCUAACUACGUGCCAGCCGCCGCCGUAA